AUUGAACGCUGGCGGCAUGCCUUACACAUGCAAGUCGAACGGUAACAGGUCUUCGGAUGCUGACGAGUGGCGAACGGGUGAGUAAUACAUCGGAACGUGCCCGAGAGUGGGGGAUAACGAGGCGAAAGCUUUGCUAAUACCGCAUACGAUCUCAGGAUGGAAGCAGGGGACCGCAAGGCCUUGCGCUCACGGAGCGGCCGAUGGCAGAUUAGGUAGUUGGUGGGAUAAAAGCUUACCAAGCCGACGAUCUGUGGCUGGUCUGAGAGGACGACCAGCCACACUGGGACUGAGACACGGCCCAGACUCCUACAGGAGGCAGCAGUGGGGAAUUUUGGACAAUGGGCGCAAGCCUGAUCCAGCCAUGCCGCGUGCAGGAUGAAGGCCUUCGGGUUGUAAACUGCUUUUGUACGGAACGAAAAGACUUCUUCUAAUAAAGGGGGUCCAUGACGGUACCGUAAGAAUAAGCACCGGCUAACUACGUGCCAGCCGCCGCGGUAAUAC
rnacentral:rRNA from 1 species